rnacentral:lncRNA from 1 species
AGGGAAGUAAGUGAAAAAGUCUUGUGUCUCCGUACGUAAGCAAAAAUUAAUUAUGCAAGUUGGAGUAGGAAUAGGGGUAGGGUUGGUGGGGAUGGGGCGAAGAUGAGGUCUAUCGUACACAAUUGACAUGGAAUGUCACUGAUGGAACCUGCUUUCCUUCCUUUUCAUUAGGAAAGUUAUUUUCCUCAUUCCCUAAGAAACUUAUUUGUUAAAGAAAAUGCUUUUCAAAAUUUUUAACCGAACAGGUCCGACUCUUUUCAUGGUCUUACUUUCUGCAUCCAUUCCUCAGUAUGGUUAAACUUAUGUUGAUGCAGGCAUGGUGACCAGGCGGCACAGAUGACACGUGAAGGAUUCGAUGCUGCAGGGCAUGCUUUAGGGACUGCGUGGGCUGUGUUUAAGAUAAGAAAAGCUCUGAAUCCAAAGGGUGCUAUCAAGCCUACUACAGUUGCAAAAGCUGCUGCUCAAGCUAGCCUUGCUAAGCUGAAGAGCAAGCAGAAGUAAAUAGGAUCUGGAUGUUCCACUUGCCAUCUCUUAACUUCCUCACUCACUCAGUUUUAUUUAUUGCUUAAUUAGAGAGUUUGUCUUUGCGUGUGAGCUACUUUGAGAGAAAAUGAUGUAAUGUAAUGUCUAGCUUUGAAUUUGCAGGAACGAUAGUGUAUGUAUUGGCUUUAUUGCUAUAGUCAUUUGCUAGUUGGCAACUUAAUUUGUUGAGACCUCAAGAUUUUAGUUGGUGUUUGGUUGAAAAUUGGAAAUGGAAAAAAGAAGUAGCUGAAAUUGAAGUUAAAAAGAUACAAUUUGUAACUUAAAAGUCUGUGUUUAUACUUGGAAAAAUAUUUUGAUGUUUAAAGACAUAUAAAAACACAUGCUUAAAUCAGACUUUACUUCAAAGAAUUUUGGGCAGUGAACAGCAAAUAUAGAAGGGAAAACGAAAAUUCAACCCUUUUAUAUAUGCGGGUGGCUCAAUGCCCUUUAAAUGAGGCAUGUCUUAGGCUUCCAAAAUCAAAAGGGCCUAAUUUUUUAGUAAUAAUAAAUUAUUAUAAGCCUUUUUUAACAAAAAAAAUAUACUAUAUUUUUUAAUUUAUUUAUCGUAUUUUUAGUUUGUUUCGAAACGCCUGACAAUUUUGGGCAAUCAAUCUUUCAAAGAAGAGUCCUGUAAGCCACAAGUCUUGUUUGUUUUAGGGUGCGUUUGGUAGAAAGGAAAAUGUUUUCAGGGAAGUAAGUGAAAAAGUCUUGUGUCUCCGUACGUAAGCAAAAAUUAAUUAUGCAAGUUGGAGUAGGAAUAGGGGUAGGGUUGGUGGGGAUGGGGCGAAGAUGAGGUCUAUCGUACACAAUUGACAUGGAAUGUCACUGAUGGAACCUGCUUUCCUUCCUUUUCAUUAGGAAAGUUAUUUUCCUCAUUCCCUAAGAAACUUAUUUGUUAAAGAAAAUGCUUUUCAAAAUUUUUAACCGAACAGGUCCGACUCUUUUCAUGGUCUUACUUUCUGCAUCCAUUCCUCAGUAUGGUUA